rnacentral:rRNA from 1 species
GAUCCUGGCUCAGAAUCAACGCUGGCGGCGUGCCUCAGACAUGCAAGUCGAACGAUUAAACUUUCCUUCGGGAAAGAUAUAAAGUGGCGCACGGGUGAGUAACACGUAGGUAAUCUACCUUUGAGUGGGGAAUAACGUUCGGAAACGAACGCUAAUACCGCAUAAUGCAGCGGCACCGCAAGGUGACAGUUGUUAAAGGAGCAAUCCGCUUAAAGAGGAGCCUGCGGCAGAUUAGCUAGUUGGUAAGGUAAUGGCUUACCAAGGCUACGAUCUGUAACCGACCUGAGAGGGUGGUCGGUCACACUGACACUGAAUAACGGGUCAGACUCCUACGGGAGGCAGCAGUCGGGAAUUUUGGGCAAUGGGCGAAAGCCUGACCCAGCAACGCCGCGUGAAGGAUGAAGUAUUUCGGUAUGUAAACUUCGAAAGAAUAGGAAGAAUAAAUGACGGUACUAUUUAUAAGGUCCGGCUAACUACGUGCCAGCAGCCGCGGUAAUACGUAGGGACCAAGCGUUGUUCGGAUUUACUGGGCGUAAAGGGCGCGUAGGCGGCAGUUCAAGUCAGUUGUGAAAUCUCCGAGCUUAACUCGGAACGGUCAACUGAUACUGUUUUGCUAGAGUGCAGAAGGGGCAAUCGGAAUUCUUGGUGUAGCGGUGAAAUGCGUAGAUAUCAAGAGGAACACCUGAGGUG